rnacentral:rRNA from 1 species
UACGUAGGCAGCAAGCGUUGUUCGGAGUUACUGGGCGUAAAGAGUGCGUAGGCGGUUUUCUAAGUUUGGUGUGAAAUCUCCCGGCUCAACUGGGAGGGUGCGCCGAAGACUGGAAGGCUUGAGUAUGGGAGAGGUAAGCGGAAUUGACGGUGUAGCGGUGAAAUGCUUAGAUAUCGUCAAGAACACCGAUAGUGAAGACAGCUAACUAAGCUUUAACUGACGCUGAGGCACGAAAGUGUGGGGAUCAAACAGG